GCAGGGUGUGGUAACCCACACCAGUAAUCUUUGAUGUUGGGGGAGGCUGAAGCAGGUGGAUCACUAGAGCUCAAGAGUUCUGAGCCACAGUAGGGUUAAUGUCCAUCAGGUGUCCACACUAGGUCUGGCACCAAUAUGGUGAGCCCUUGGGAACAGAGGACUAGCAGGAUGCCUAAGAAGGGGCAAACCAGCACAGAAUGGAAAAAGAGAGCAAGCCAAAAUGUCCAUGCUUCUCAGAAUUUGGGAUAGGGCCCAUGAUCAGACACCUCACUUACAGCCUGGGCAAGAUACAGAGACCCAGUCU
rnacentral:SRP_RNA from 1 species